rnacentral:rRNA from 1 species
UAAGCAUGUAGGCUGGUUAUCCAGGCAAAUCCGGAUAAUCAAGGCUGAGGUGUGAUGACGAGGCACUACGGUGCUGAAGUAACAAAUGCCCUGCUUCCAGGAAAAGCCUCUAAGCAUCAGGUAACAUCAAAUCGUACCCCAAACCGACACAGGUGGUCAGGUAGAGAAUACCAAGGCGCUUGAGAGAACUCGGGUGAAGGAACUAGGCAAAAUGGUGCCGUAACUUCGGGAGAAGGCACGCUGGUGUGUAGGUGA